GAGCAUGCGUCCCAUUAGCUAGUUGGUAAGGUAACGGCUUACCAAGGCAACGAUGGGUAGGGGUCCUGAGAGGGAGAUCCCCCACACUGGUACUGAGACACGGACCAGACUCCUACGGGAGGCAGCAGUGAGGAAUAUUGGUCAAUGGUCGGAAGACUGAACCAGCCAUGCCGCGUGCAGGAUGACGGCCCUAUGGGUUGUAAACUGCUUUUGUACGGGAAGAAACACCGGUUCGUGAACCGGCUUGACGGUACCGUAAGAAUAAGGAUCGGCUAACUCCGUGCCAGCAGCCGCGGUAAUACGGAGGAUCCAAGCGUUAUCCGGAAUCAUUGGGUUUAAAGGGUCCGUAGGCGGUCUUAUAAGUCAGUGGUGAAAUCUGGUCGCUCAACGAUCAAACUGCCAUUGAUACUGUAGGACUUGAAUUACUGUGAAGUAACUAGAAUAUGUAGUGUAGCGGUGAAAUGCUUAGAGAUUACAUGGAAUACCAAUUGCGAAGGCAGGUUACUAACAGUGGAUUGACGCUGAUGGACGAAAGCGUGGGGAGCGAACAGGAUUAGAUACCCUGGUAGUCCACGCUGUAAACGAUGGAUACUAGUUGUUUGGAUUUAUCUGAGUGACUAAGCGAAAGUGAUAAGUAUCC
rnacentral:rRNA from 1 species